GAGCUGUAAUAACCAUUACAACUACAGUGAGCUGUGCUGGGUGUAUAAACCUGAUUGAUGGGAUUUGUCUGACAUUUGUUUAUAAGCCUGACUGAUGAAGGUGGCCAGGCAUCUUCAAACCUAACUGGUAGAUUAAGGAGGAUGACUUGCUAAACUCAGGUCUAAUUAGCUCAUAAAGAGUUAGUGGAGACACAUCGUGUCAUAACUGAUGGGGCAGCUCUGUGCGGAUCCAACUGAUGGGCCAGAUUCUCCUGAGACACUGUUCAACAGGAUUUCCACUGUUCUGUCAGAUACAACAAGAGAUACGAUACACAGCUGUCAGUGAGAGAAAAUGCAACACCGCUAAGUCUUCUCCAAGAACAUGUAACCAACUAACAACAGCCAACGCUGGGUUUGGCCAAAAGAAGACAAAAAAUGGAUUCGGAAGCCUAAGCAGGAUGUAAGAGGGGAAACAAGGGGAAAGGCAGAGGAGCAGCCCACCAAACUGAACAUAAGCAAAAGCAACAUGACUCCACAGAGCAGAGAAGCACUGGCAAUGCAAUGAGGCCCCAACAUUUGAAGAGUUCCAGAAGAGUCAGAGUAGCAACAUCAUUGAGCUUUAAAAUUCUACAAACACAGAGAAAUUAAUCAGCAUGGCUAAGCUAAACCAGACAGAGUUAACUCACAUUGACUCUGAAAUGCAGACAUUGCCUAGAAAAGUAGGUAUCCAAAUCACAGAGACUUUCAGUUGCUCUCUGUUGUGACCUUCUGGAAUUUCUGAAACAGUUCAGACUGUC